CCGGCGACCGGCGCACGGGUGAGUAACACGUAUGCAACCUGGCCGCCACAGGGGGAUAACCCGCGGAAACACGGCCUAAUACCCCGUGACGCCACCGGAGGGCAUCCUCCGGUGGCCAAAGGAGCGAUCCGGUGGCGGAUGGGCAUGCGGCGCAUUAGCUAGACGGCGGGGUGACGGCCCACCGUGGCGACGAUGCGUAGGGGUUCUGAGAGGAAGGCCCCCCACACUGGGACUGAGACACGGCCCAGACUCCUACGGGAGGCAGCAG
rnacentral:rRNA from 1 species